UACGGAGGGGGCGAGCGUUAUUCGGAAUUAUUGGGCGUAAAGGGCGCGUAGGCGGCCCGGUAAGUCAAAGGUGAAAUCCCUCGGCUCAACUGAGGAAUUGCCUUUGAAACUGCCAGGCUUGAGGCGGGAGGGAGGCGGAUUCGAAUCCGGUGUAGUGGUGAAAUGCGUAGAUAUGGGAGGAACACCAGUGGCGAAGGCGACUACCUGGCCGUGUUGU
rnacentral:rRNA from 1 species